AUGUUUGUUUUUAUAUCUGAUGUUUCCAUACCUGAUGAUCGUGUGCUUUUGCGUCCGUCUCAGGCACAAGACCCGCAGAUGUUGGAUCAGCUGUCCAAAAACAUCACCAGAUGCGGCCUGUCAAACUCCACCCUCAACUACCUCAGAUUGUGUGUAAUCCUGGAGCCCAUGCAGGAGCUGAUGUCCAGGCACAAGACGUACAGUCUGAGUCCCCGGGACUGUCUGAAGACGUGUUUGUUCCAGAAGUGGCAGCGGAUGGUGGCUCCACCAGCGGAACCUGCCAGACAGGCACCCAGUAAGAGACGGAAGCGCAAGAUGUCGGGCGGCAGCACCAUGAGCGCAGGCGGAGGAACCAACAACAACAGCAACAGCAAGAAGAAGAGCCCAGCGAACAGCUUCCCCCUGUCCAGUCAGGUGCCUGGAUGGUUGGUUGUUGGCGAGCCGACGCUGAUGGGCGGCGAGUUCGGAGACGAGGACGAGCGUUUGAUCACGCGGCUCGAGAACACGCAGUUUGACGCCGCUAACGGCAUCGACGACGAGGACAGCUUUAACAACUCGCCCGCGCUGGCGCUAACAGCCCCUGGAACAACAAGCCCCCGUCCAGCCAGGAGGGCAAGAACGACAACCCCACCUCACAGGCGUCUCAGUGAGACCCGCGGGGGCGGGGCCGACCCGGCGUCCAAUGGGAAGAAAGAGGCGUGGUCGAAGAUCGACUCAUUCAUCUACCUGCAGAACGACUCUUCCUGUCAGCAGAGGAAAUGAACCUGAAGGAUCAGAGAUGACAUCAGACGCACAGGGCUCGUGGUUUUGUUGGUGUUUUACGGGAGGACACUCCUGAUAGAUCACAUGAUUAAGUUAAGACGGAACGUAAACCGCCAACAAGACCAACCAACAUCCAGCUCCUGUUUCACCCCAGAAUCACUGCAUUUCUGCAUGUUGGACAUAUGCAUAUUUUUAAUAUUAACCAUGAUUAGAAUUUUGCAUUAUAACACUGGACUGCAGUGACCGAAACUGUCCGAUUCAUUUUAAAUCAACACUUUACUUAAAGCAUUCAUAUAUAGUGCAGUAUGAAAGGGUUUUUAAUGCAUUAAUUAUGCAACUUAUAUAUGUCACAUCUUCAGAAAGUAUAAUGCAUUAAAACAACCAGGAUUCUGAAAAUAUUACAAUGCAUUAGAACACAUUUUAUUUAAAGGUAUAUAUAGAUAGAUAUAUGAAAGUAUUUUUAAUGCAUUAAUUAUUCUUUGUAUUGCAACUUAUGGUUGCUUAAAACAACCAGGAUUCUGAAAAUAUUAUAAAUAAUAUUAUAUAUAACGCAUCAUAAUGCUUUAAGCAAAGUGUUAUCAAAACUAGUGUUCGAUUUAAAUGAAUCUUUUUCUGUUGCUUUGCAUUAGUUUUCGCAGGAGAUAAUGUUUAAUUGCAAACAAAAGUUCUCUUUCAGCAACAUUCAUUUCUUUUGUGUGUUUGUGUUGAUUUGGGAGUGAAACGUGAGCUGGCCGUGUUCUGCUCUCUGAUUGGUGGAGGGACAGCGUUCGCAUGAAGAAGAGCGUUUCAACUCAGACACGUUUUGGAGAAUUGUAUCCGUGUUUUAUACCAGCCUCGAUUUCCCUAGAAUGUUUUUAUUUGCCUUUUCUUUUUCUUUCUGCCGAUGUUGAAAGCUGCAAACCAAGGAGUAACAGAGCCGUCAAGGUCCUUAAAGAUCGACCUCAGCCCUCAGAUUCUAUUGGUUUGUGUUAUUUUUGAAGAGAGUGGUUUAGCGUGGGCUUUCGGUUGAGUUUUGUGUACUUGUGCUUGUAUAUUUAAGGUAGUAGCAGAGUUCUGUAUAACUGUAUUGAGAUGUAUUCCUCCUUAGAGUUCCAUAAAGCCAUUCUGAUCUAAUGUGUAAAAGAGAAACACAUGAACCUCGUCUUUCCCCUUCUUUGAUUUGUGUGAAAUCAAGGGCACAAUCUGUGUUUGUUUCAGAUCCGGACGCUUUAAACACAUGUUUUCUGUGUUUUCUUCACACACACACGAACUGUUCCACUGGACUCCGUUAACUAGUUGCUGGUUGGUUUGUUUUCCUCGCACACCCGAUAAUGCUGAAGCCUUUGAACUCGAUUUUUGUACUAUUUUUUGAUUCGUUUCUCUCUCUCUGACCAGCUGAAUCAGUUUAAGUGAACUAAAGGUCUGCACUUGCAAUUGAAAUAAACCUUGAACCUUGUAGAUGCCCCUGUUUGAUAUAAUAACCUCGUUUUCUUAAUUUCUGCCCUUGAUUAAAUUAAUGUAUGGAACCAAUAAAAUAUGAAUUUUCACUUUAA